rnacentral:misc_RNA from 1 species
CAGCCGGGUAAUUCCAGCUCCAAUAGCGUAUAUUAAAGUUGUUGCAGUUAAAAAGCUCGUAGUUGAAUUUCGGGAUUGACACAUCGGUCGUGCCUUAAGGGGUAUGAACUGGUGUAGUCAAUUUCUCACCUUCUGGAGAACCGCGAUGCCCUUAAUUGGGUGUCGCGGGGAACCAGGACCUUUACUUUGAAAAAAUUAGAGUGUUUAAAGCAGGCAUUUUGCUUGAAUACAUUAGCAUGGAAUAAUAAAAUAGGACGGCAUGAUUCUAUUUUGUUGGUUUCUAGGAUCACCGUAAUGAUUAAUAGGGAUAGUUGGGGGCAUUAGUAUUCAAUUGUCAGAGGUGAAAUUCUUGGAUUUAUUGAAGACUAACUACUGCGAAAGCAUUUGCCAAGGAUGUUUUCAUUAAUCAAGAACGAAAGUUAGGGGAUCGAAGACGAUCAGAUACCGUCGUAGUCUUAACCAUAAACUAUGCCGACUAGGAAUCAGACGAUGUUAAUUUUUUAAUGACUCGUUUGGCACCUUACG